UGUCGUCAGCUCGUGUCGUGAGAUGUUGGGUUAAGUCCCGCAACGAGCGCAACCCUUGCCUUUAGUUGCCAGCAUUAAGUUGGGCACUCUAGAGGGACUGCCGAGGAUAACUCGGAGGAAGGUGGGGAUGACGUCAAAUCAUCAUGCCCCUUAUGCUUAGGGCUACACACGUGCUACAAUGGGUGGUACAGAGGGUUGCCAAGCCGUGAGGUGGAGCUAAUCCCUUAAAGCCAUUCUCAGUUCGGAUUGUAGGCUGAAACUCGCCUACAUGAAGCUGGAGUUACUAGUAAUCGCAGAUCAGAAUGCUGCGGUGAAUGCGUUCCCGGGUCUUGUACACACCGCCCGUCACACCAUGGGAGUUGGGGGCGCCCGAAGCCGGUUAGCUAACCUUUUAGGAAGCGGCCGUCGAAGGUGAAACCAAUGACUGGGGUGAAGUCGUAACAAGGUAGCCGUAUCGGAAGGUGCGGCUGGAUCACCUCCUUUCUAAGGA
rnacentral:rRNA from 1 species